UAGUAGCGGCGAGCGAAGCGGGAAAAGCUCAAAUUUGUAAUCUGGCGUCUUCGACGUCCGAGUUGUAAUCUCGAGAAGUGUUUUCCGUGAUAGACCGCAUACAAGUCUCUUGGAACAGAGCGUCAUAGUGGUGAGAACCCAGUACACGAUGCGGAUGCCUAUUACUUUGUGAUACACUUUCGAAGAGUCGAGUUGUUUGGGAAUGCAGCUCAAAUUGGGUGGUAAAUUCCAUCUAAAGCUAAAUAUUGGCGAGAGACCGAUAGCGAACAAGUACCGUGAGGGAAAGAUGAAAAGCACUUUGGAAAGAGAGUUAACAGUACGUGAAAUUGUUGGAAGGGAAACACAUGCAGUGAUACUUGCUAUUCGGGGCAACUCGAUUGGCAGGCCCGCAUCAGUUUUUCGGGGCGGAAAAUCGUAGAGAGAAGGUAGCAGUUUCGGCUGUGUUAUAGCUCUUUACUGGAUUCGCCCUGGGGGACUGAGGAACGCAGCGUGCUUUUAGCAUGAGCUUCGGCUUAUCCACGCUUAGGAUGCGGGUUUAUGGCUGUAUAUGACCCGUCUUGAAACACGGACCAAGGAGUCUAACAUGCUUGCGAGUAUUUGGGUGUCAAACCCGGAUGCGCAAUGAAAGUGAAUGGAGGUGGGAAGCGCAAGCUGCACCAUCGACCGAUCUGGAUUUUUUAAGAUGGAUUUGAGUAAGAGCAAGUAUGUUGGGACCCGAAAGAUGGUGAACUAUGCCUGAAUAGGGCGAAGCCAGAGGAAACUCUGGUGGAGGCUCGUAGCGGUUCUGACGUGCAAAUCGAUCGUCAAAUUUGGGUAUAGGGGCGAAAGACUAAUCGAACCAUCUAGUAGCUGGUUCCUGCCGAAGUUUCCCUCAGGAUAGCAGAAACUCACAUCAGUUCUAUGAGGUAAAGCGAAUGAUUAGAGGCCUUGGGGUUGAAACAACCUUAACCUAUUCUCAAACUUUAAAUA
rnacentral:rRNA from 1 species